rnacentral:rRNA from 1 species
GACGAACGCUGGCGGCGUGCUUAACACAUGCAAGUCGAACGGAAAGGCCCUGCUUUUGUGGGGUGCUCGAGUGGCGAACGGGUGAGUAACACGUGAGUAACCUGCCCUUGACUUUGGGAUAACUUCAGGAAACUGGGGCUAAUACCGGAUAGGAGCUCCUGCUGCAUGGUGGGGGUUGGAAAGUUUCGGCGGUUGGGGAUGGACUCGCGGCUUAUCAGCUUGUUGGUGGGGUAGUGGCUUACCAAGGCUUUGACGGGUAGCCGGCCUGAGAGGGUGGCCGGCGACAUUGGGACUGAGAUACGGCCCAGACGCCUACGGGAGGCAGCAGUGGGGAAUAUUGCACAAUGGGCGGAAGCCUGAUGCAGAAACGCCGCGUGCGGGAUAACGGCCUUCUGGUUGUAAACCGCUUUCUCCUGUGACGAAGCGUGAGUGACGGUAAUGGGUAAAGAAGCACCGGCUAACUACGUG